GAGACACACCCAAGUGCCCUGCAUGAGUCACUGACUCUGCCCGGAGCUAAAAUAUGAUGAGGCAGGAAGUCUUUGGCUGCUCCAGUCAGUGAAAUGGUUUUCAUUACAGUAUUUCUGCCGAGAGCAGCAUUUCUGUCUUUUGCUCCCUAUCACCAUGACUACAGAACUGUGGGCAUCUGACUGAGCUGGCAGGAGAGUGCUGAUACAAGGCAUGGAGAGCCCUGAGUUGGAGUUCAGGCGACCCAGAUAAGGUGGUAUAACAUUCUGAAGUGCCUUGGGUUUCCUUGAUGGAGCCAUGAUGAACCAUGUUGCCAUCACAGUGGCCAAAAACCUGUUUAUCAUCUCAGCGAAUAGGAACAAGCUGAACAGACUUCUUGCUUUCAGUAUGGGUGCCCUGGUGAUGAACAGAGUUAAGAAACACAAUCUAGAACUAAGAAUGAAGGGACCUAGAUCAGUGGCAGUCCAAGAUAAAAGGGCAUACUGAAGAAAAGAAGCUGGCAUAGGCUAGACAUGGUACUCCACUCACUUGAGAGGUAGAAGAGGAAGACCAGGUGUUCAAGGACAACUUUGUGUAUAUAUUGAAAGGCGAUGGAAGAGCCUGACUAUCAAUCAACUAAGCACCAACCAAACAUGGGUUCAAAUCUUGUGAAUAACCCUUUCAAGCUGAUGGCUUACUGUUCACAUUUCUUGUGUUUUCACAAGGUACAAUUGUUUUAGUUUUAGUUUUCCUUGGACAACGCUAACUGGAUUUAGUGGAUUGUAUAUACAAAGAAGGAAGAGGAGGAGGAGAAAUAAGGAAACAUGAAGUUGAAUGAGGGAUGUGUUGGAGGUUACAGGAGGAGUUGAAAGAGGAAACUGAUAUGCUUACUGACAUAUUUCAUUUUGUAUACAUCUAUGAAGCCAUCAAAGAAUAUGAUGAAGAAACGUUCCAUGUUUUCAGUUUUAUCACUGGUACAUAAUUCAAUAAAUCCUUUAUUCUGAUUUCAAUUGCUUUUUUCAGUCAUUUUCUCAGAAAAGUUUAGAAAACUGAUUUUUUUUAUGUUGUAAUCUUCAAUUUUUGGAAUUUAUUUCUCUCUAAAUCUGUGUUCUACUUUUGUUUUGUUUCCAUAUGGAAGCCCAAUUGCCUCUAUUCAAUUUAUUGAAAAGCAUAUCUUUUCUGUGCUGACUUACAGUGCCAACACAGA
rnacentral:lncRNA from 1 species